rnacentral:rRNA from 1 species
UGGGGAAUAUUGCACAAUGGGCGCAAGCCUGAUGCAGCCAUGCCGCGUGUAUGAAGAAGGCCUUCGGGUUGUAAAGUACUUUCAGCGGGGAGGAAGGCGAUAAGGUUAAUAACCUUGUCGAUUGACGUUACCCGCAGAAGAAGCACCGGCUAACUCCGUGCCAGCAGCCGCGGUAAUACGGAGGGUGCAAGCGUUAAUCGGAAUUACUGGGCGUAAAGCGCACGCAGGCGGUCUGUCAAGUCGGAUGUGAAAUGCCCGGGCUCAACCUUGGAACUGCAUUCGAAACUGGCAGGCUAGAGUCUUGUAGAGGGGGGUAGAAUUACAGGUGUAGCGGUGAAAUGCGUAGAGAUCUGGAGGAAUACCGGUGGCGAAGGCGGCCCCCUGGACAAAGACUGACGCUCAGGUGCGAAAGCGUGGGGAGCAAACA